rnacentral:rRNA from 1 species
UACGGGGGGAGCAAGCGUUGUUCGGAUUUACUGGGCGUAAAGGGCGCGUAGGCGGUCAGCACAAGUCAGUUGUGAAAUCUCCGGGCUUAACUCGGAAAGGUCAACUGAUACUGUGCGACUAGAGUGCGGAAGGGGCAACUGGAAUUCUCGGUGUAGCGGUGAAAUGCGUAGAUAUCGGGAGGAACACCAGUGGCGAAGGCGACUACCUGGCCCAUUCUUGACGCUGAGGCGCGAAAGCUAGGGAGCGAACGGG